GAUGAACGCUAGCGGCAGGCUUAACACAUGCAAGUCGAGGGGUAGAAGGAGCUUGCUCCUUUGAGACCGGCGCACGGGUGCGUAACGCGUAUGCAAUCUACCUUUUGCAGAGGAUAGCCCAGAGAAAUUUGGAUUAAUACCUCAUAGUAUGUGAGGAUGGCAUCAUUUUCACAUUAAAGUCACAACGGCAAAAGAUGAGCAUGCGUCCCAUUAGCUAGUUGGUAAGGUAACGGCGUUACCAAGGCUACGAUAGGGUAGGGUACCGUGAGAGGGAGAUCCCCCACACUGGUACUGAGACACGGACCAGACUCCUAC
rnacentral:rRNA from 1 species